AAUUGCUGGUGGACUGUGGAGUUGUGCUGUGUCCUGUAGUCACCCAGAGACCCCACGCCGUGUCCGUCCCGGAGCGCGUCUCGGUGGUUGCUGCGCCGUGCGAUUGGAGGGAUGCUGAGUGGAGCCAGCGCCGUGUCCGACCCAGUGUGCGUGCGUGUUUGGGAGCGCGCGUGAGUUUCCCUGACACGGGGAACAGUCAUGAAUCGGGGGUGUAUGUUUGCCUCCAGAGCCCAUGGCAAGGUGCGGAACCCUCCAGAAGUGUGGUCAAGCGGCGGUGGUGGUGGCGGCGGCGGCGGAGGCGGCAGUGGUAGCAGCAGCAGCAACAGAGACCAGGAACCAGGAGCCUCCUCACAUCCCGUUUCUCAAUGAUGCAGCGGAACCCCGGGAGAAAGUUUGCAAACUUCCACCAUUUCGGCCAAGACGCCUGGUCACCUAGGGGCGGCCGGGCGAGUUUGCAGGGGGCUCUCUCUCCCACCGGUGCCCAGCGGCCGCUGCCAUCUCUCGAGACCCGCUACCGGCUGCAGCUGGUGGGCGCGCGCCCCGGGAGGGACAGCUGCCCUUGGAGGGGACUUGACUUUCGCUCCAGGCGCUCCAGCUUGAGAGUGCUCCAGAGCCCUCGCCUUCACUCCUGAGCCGCCUUCCGCCUCCGUCCCCUUUGCGCUGGCACUCUUACUUCUUCCGGGCUGCCGCCCCAAAUGACAGCUGGGGCCCGAGCCGCACUGCACCCAGGCGGUUCUCAGUACCGGGCGACAGAGCCUGCCUUUGAGCCAGCUUCUCCAUCAACCGCUUAAACUUUUCACAAAGUUCUUAAAGGGUUGAGACAGACACCGCCCCCACUCCGCCACUUUAGAGGGACCAUAGCCCGCUUUAGUUUUUCAUUUAUUUAUUAGUUAGAGAUUUACUUCCAGAGGGGUGUCUAGUAGAAAAAGCCCCAACUUUCCCUGAACGAGUGCCGUCCCCACUUGAUGCUGGUUCAAAGCUGGGAACUGGAGCGGGCUGCUUGUACAUCGUUGUCAGUGACUGCAAAGCUUGUUUGGUUUUUUAUUUUUCCCUCUUCCUGACAUGUGUCAAAGAAUAAAGGCUGGCUACAGGUCCAUUACGUC
rnacentral:lncRNA from 1 species